rnacentral:rRNA from 1 species
GAUCCUGGCUCAGGAUGAACGCUAGCUACAGGCUUAACACAUGCAAGUCGAGGGGCAUCAGUUUGGUUUGCUUGCAAACCAAAGCUGGCGACCGGCGCACGGGUGAGUAACACGUAUCCAACCUGCCUCAGUACUCGGGGAUAGCCUUUCGAAAGAAAGAUUAAUAUCCGAUAAGCAUAUAUUUCCCGCAUGGGUUUUAUAUUAAAGAAAUUCGGUAAUGAGAUGGGGAUGCGUUCCAUUAGUUUGUUGGGGGGGG